GGGCACGACAAGGUUUCUGUCAAUAAUACUGGGUUAAUGAGUUGACUUGUGCAUUUAGUACAUGGCCUUGAAUAUAAACGAAUAAGGCAGCGGAUGCCGUAUAACUACAACUCCCACAAUCCAAGAUAAAGGUCUGGAGUGUAUGGGAGGAGUUGAUUUUAUUGUUCAAGGACACUUCAUCAGGAGUAGCUGUGGGGGGAGAUGUAAUCUGACUCCGUCUGCUUACGUGGCUGCCAUUGACUGCGAGGCCUCCUCCUCCUCAGAGGACACAGACGUGUUCCUCACGCGAUGAUUUGGCAGCUGUUACUCCAAGGAGCAUCCAGCAACAUCACCGAGGACCGUCAUCAGAAGAAAAGG